AGUUUCAACAGACACAUCGGGUGUCCUAGCCUGCUGCAUUGAGACACAAAAUACAUCUUCAUUUCUCCGUUUAUGCUCUCAACAUUAUCACAAAGCCAAGCUGCAUAUGAGAUGAUGGAGACUGACCCAGACUGACCACCAUCUCUGCAUCUGGGCCACACAGAAACUACACAGACAGACACUACACACUCUGCAAGACUAGCUAAGAGGAGGGAAAGAAAAUCAACACUGCAGUCAGCUGUAGAUGUGGACAAACAACAUGCAGAGAAGGAGAUACUUGAGGUUGAAGAUGGUGAGAGACACUGAUGAGAAGACACACAACACUAAGGAGGUAACUGAGACAAACUGAAUGUAAAUUGUGUAUGGACAAGUGUAGAAGUAAACCGCCUGUUGGAGAAGAACUGACAGCAGCUGUGUGAACUUGAAGAAUACAGGAUGUCUCAUGGAUUUUGUAACAAGAAUGAUGCUAACGUACCAAACAGUAAAUAAACACAAAGCACUGAACCAUAAAAAUGAUACUCCCUUGUGAAGGUGAAGAUGUCACAUUACAGCAUAGGAUUGUAACUGUC
rnacentral:lncRNA from 1 species